rnacentral:tRNA from 1 species
UGGGCUAAACUAUUCUUUGCUAGUACAUAUAUGUACUUACCCCAUAUAC